rnacentral:rRNA from 1 species
GAUGAACGCUGGCGGUGUGCUUAAUACAUGCAAGUCGAGCGGUAACACUUCGGGUGACGAGCGGCGGACGGCUGAGUAACACGUAGGAACGUACCCCAAACUGAGGGAUAAGCACCAGAAAUGGUGUCUAAUACCGCAUAUGAUCUUCGGAUUAAAGCUUCGGCGGUUUGGGAACGGCCUGCGCAUGAUUAGCUUGUUGGUAAGGUAAUGGCUUACCAAGGCAACGAUCAUUAGCUGGUCUGAGAGGAUGAUCAGCCAGACUGGGACUGAGACACGGCCCAGACUCCUACGGGAGGCAGCAGUAGGGAAUUUUCCACAAUGGACGAAAGUCUGAUGGAGCAACACCGCGUGCAGGAUGAAGGCUUUCGGGUCGUAAACUGCUUUUAUCUGUGAAGAUUAUGACGGUAGCAGAUGAAUAAGGAUCGGCUAACUCCGUGCCAGCAGCCGCGGUAAUAC